UGUAAGGAAUUGGGACGUGGGUUUU
rnacentral:piRNA from 1 species